rnacentral:rRNA from 1 species
UGGGAAGUAUUGCAUCAAUGGCAGGCAAGCCAUGACUGCAGCCAUGCCGCGCUGUAUGAAGAAGGCCAAUUCGGGGCUUUGGUUAAAGAUACUUUCAGCGAGGAGGAAGGCAUUAAGGUUAAUAACCUUAGUGAUUGACGUUACUCGCAGAAGAAGCACCGGCUAACUCCGUGCCAGCAGCCGCGGUAAUACGGAGGGUGCAAGCGUUAAUCGGAAUUACUGGGCGUAAAGCGCACGCAGGCGGUCUGUCAAGUCGGAUGUGAAAUCCCCGGGCUCAACCUGGGAACUGCAUCCGAAACUGGCAGGCUAGAGUCUUGUAGAGGG